GCCCCUCGCCGUGGGCGCAAAGUUCAUAGGACCCCGCGGGAUCCCGCCUAGAGGCUCAUACUCUUCGUUUGUUUCCCGCUGCUCAGCUUAUAGUGACCAAUGCCCAGGGGCCCAAGAACGGCGUGGGCCCUAGCGCCCGGGCUUGGCGGGGGAACUUGACCCUGGCGGGAAGGGAGCAGGACCGCCGGACGCCCGGAGAGACGAGAGCCACCUGGGAGUGGCCUGGAGGGCAUGUGAUGGGGUGUAAACUGGACACUCAGAGCGAUGAGAUGCCCAUUAUGAGACAUGGAAUCUUCUUUGAAACGAUUGGGAAGUAGUAUAAAAAGCACUCCGGGGCUGCCCUGGUGGCCGAGACUUCCCUGGUGGCGCAGUGGUUGAAAAUCUGCCUGCUAAUACAGGGGACAAGGGUUCGAGCCCUGGUCUGGGAGGAUCCCACAUGCCCCGGAGCAACUAGGCCCGUGAGCCACAACUACUGAGCCUGCGCGUCUGGAGCAGGUGCUCCGCAACAAGAGAGGCCGCGACAGUGAGAGGCCCGCGCGCUGCGAUGAAGAGUGACUCCCGCUUGCCACAACUAGAGAAAGCCCUCGCACAGAAACGAAGACCCAACACAGCAAAAAUAAAUUAAUUAAUUAAUAAACUCCUACCCCCAACAUCUUCUUAAAAAAAAAAAAAAGCACUCUGUGUCUGAGAGAUCCUGGUGAUUUGACCUUAGACAAAUAACUUAAUUACUUCUAGUUUGUUUCCAUAACUGUAAAUGGAGCCAACAAUACCUGGUAAAGCUAUUACAGUUGUGAGGAUGAGAUGAUAUAUGUGAUCAUGUUUUGUAAACUAUAAAGCAAGAGUAACCAGAAAUUAGUUACUAUUUUAUAUAAUACUGUCCUAACAUUUCCUGCCUAUGUCCCUGUCUGUAAAAUGGGUACAGAUCUAGGUCCAAAAGCCUGUGAACUUGAGCAAGUCAUUUCCUUUCUGGACGUGUGUUUCCUAGCAAGGUUAUUAUUACAUUAUGAAGAUCAAAUGAUAUCGUGUAUGUAAAUGCUGUGACAGGCAUAUAUCAAGAAUGCAAUAAAUGAUAGCUGUUAUUACUCUCUGAGGGUAGGAUUGUAAGGAUCAAACAAUAUUAUAUCUACUUAAAAGGCUUUGAAUAUAUAUUUAAAUUCUGUACACAUCCAAGGUAUUGUUAUUUGUACUGUAAACUGCAAAGACGUACAUGGAACGAGGAAACAA